UACGUAGGGUGCAAGCGUUAAUCGGAAUUACUGGGCGUAAAGCGUGCGUAGACGGUUAUGUAAGUCGGGUGUGAAAGCCCCGGGCUCAACCUGGGAAUUGCAUUCGAGACUGCAUAGCUAGGGUGCGGAAGAGGGAAGCGGAAUUUCCGGUGUAGCGGUGAAAUGCGUAGAUAUCAAGAGGAACACCUGAGGUGAAGACGGGUUGCUGGGCCGACACUGACGCUGAGUGCGCGAAAGCCAGGGGAGCAAACGGG
rnacentral:rRNA from 1 species